AUUGAACGCUGGCGGCAGGCCUAACACAUGCAAGUCGAGCGGAUGAAGGGAGCUUGCUCCUGGAUUCAGCGGCGGACGGGUGAGUAAUGCCUAUGAAUCUGCCUGGUAGUGGGGGAUAACGUCCGGAAACGGGCGCUAAUACCGCAUACGUCCUGAGGGAGAAAGUGGGGGAUCUUCGGACCUUACGCUAUCAGAUGAUCCUAGGUCGGAUUAUCUAGUUGGUGGGGUAAAGGCCUACCAAGGCGACGAUCCGUAACUGGUCUGAGAGGAUGAUCAGUCACACUGGAACUGAGACACGGUCCAGACUCCUACGGGAGGCAGCAGUGGGGAAUAUUGGACAAUGGGCGAAAGCAUGAUCCAGCCAUGCCGCGUGUGUGAAGAAGGUCUUCGGAUUGUAAAGCACUUUAAGUUGGGAGGAAGGGCAGUAAGUUAAUACCUUGCUGUUUUGACGUUACCAACAGAAUAAGCACCGGCUAACUUCGUG
rnacentral:rRNA from 1 species